GGGUGCCUUAAAGAUUUUGUGCCAGGACCACAUGGAUGUCCAAUCAGAGCUAAGAAAACUAAAGUCAGAGAUGCAGAGCAGAGAUCUUCACAGUAGGCUGGAGUUCAUGCAAAAGCAGAUUGAUAUGGAGAAACUUCAGGUGCUGUUGUCUCUCUAAAAAACAACCAAAAGUCAAAUUAAACACAUUUCAUUUAGUCUCUGAAGCAUAGAUCUCUUCAGGGAUGGUCUCAAUUAGACUGUUGUUUGGCUUUUUCAGUUUUUAUAAUUGUGGGUAAAACUCAUCCCAGUUCCCAAUGGAAAUUUGUAUAGUAAUGAAAGUGUUUCAGAGAAUUGACUCCAGGCUGACCGACUAGAUUAAUUUCAUGAAUUGAACUCACUAUCAAAUUUUGUUUCAUUGAAGUCUCUUCUGACCUUGACCUACCAAUCAUUCAGGCAGCCGAGGGACAGAGAGAGAUGAAAAACACACUAAUGUGACAGCUGGAAGAGGUCAUGGCUGAUCUACAGUCAGUGAGACAAACAGAGUGCCUUACGCAAGGAAAUUGAGACACGCAAGGCUGAGUGGCAAACCAAGAUGGAAGAAGCCAAGAUACGAGAGGCAGAGCUGAAAGAAACGCUGCAUGAAUUACAUCUCAAAGAGGAGGAGAGGAGCGAGAAAAUGAAGCAGUGUGAGGAAAGAGAGGUGAAGGCCUUACAGAGAGGAGCUGAAGAGGAGAGACAGAAACACAGGGUUGAGGUUGAGGAGUACAGAGAACAGGUGUGACAACAUGCAUACACCAUUGUUGCCAUGGAGACGCGAAUAAACAAAGCUUAGCAGAGUGAGGAAAUAUGGAAAGAGAUGGAGGAGGAGAGAGACUCACUGAAGGAGCAACUCAAAGAGACGCUCGGUAGGCUGGAGGGCUUUGAAAGCAACAGCACAUCUUACACAUCAGAAAAACAGCAGGAACCGGAUCAAAAAAUAACAUCCCUCCGGUAUAAUAAAGCUCUCUUAAUUACCAUCACUGUAUACCCAUCAUCCAAAAUCUAUGGUGUAUAUUAUUAUGGUAAAUAUUUAAUCCCCAUUUAGCCAGUAGGCCUGCUUCAGAAACCAGUUACAACAGCUCCGCGUAAGAUUGUAACUUAGCAAUUUAUAUAUUGCAUAAGAUACUGUGUAAAACGAUUUCCUUACUCUGUCGUCACAUUCACUGUGAGAAGAAUAAUAUUCAUACACUUUGCCCUUGUUAAUGAAUAAUGCAUAAGGUUCACUAUUUAUUUAUGCAUUAUUUAUGAAUUCCUUGCUUGAUAACUAAUUACACAGUCCAUGUCUCUAUCUUUAAAUCAUUUCAUAGUUCAGGCACUGUUAAAUUGUAGCUGUAAAUAUGUCUCUUUUUCUACUUCCAUUCAUUUUUAAUACACAAUUACUGCUAAAAUCUCCUAAACAACUUAUUUUUUAAAUUAGAAUGAUAACCACAGUAUAUACAUAAUGUCUAAAUGUGUACAUGCUUUAAAAUUAAAAUAUAGUUAUUCAUCAAAAAAAUGAUCAGUAAUGGUCUCUCUGUGUAGGAGAACUAAGCGAAUAGCAGAAGUUAGAGUCGGAAAGUCAUAAAGCUUUGGUGGUAGACCAGAAGAUUCAACUGAGCAUGCUCACACAGAAGCUAACCAUGAUGUCACAACUAGUGCAGCAGAAAGACUAAGAGACAAAGAAACUGGGAGAAAAACUGAGGUAUGACCAAAAAUGACACAGUACAAUGGCUUCACAAAAAUUCGGACAUUUUUGAAAUAUAUAACAAGAAAAACCUUUUUGUUAGACAAACUGAAGAGGACCUGAAAAGUAAAGCAACAGCAAACAGAGAGAUGGAGAACACAAGUCUUCUUCCACUUCAAACCUCAAGAAACACUAAAGUGAGAUAAACUGGACAAACAUUUACCUUAGCAAAACUCUCAUCAUUGCGAGGAAGCGAUUCUUCAACAGCAGGAAGGUUUGCGUGACAUGAAAGAGCGAAUCAGAGCUCUAGAACAGAAGUGGCCUAGCAGUGAGUCUUCUAAUCCCUUAUAACCACUGAUCAAACCUUUGAUUAUGGCGAUCC
ensembl:lncRNA